rnacentral:rRNA from 1 species
UGGGGAAUUUUGGACAAUGGGGGAAACCCUGAUCCAGCCAUCCCGCGUGUGCGAUGAAGGCCUUCGGGUUGUAAAGCACUUUUGGCAGGAAAGAAACGUCAUGGGUUAAUACCCCGUGAAACUGACGGUUCCUGCAGAAUAAGCACCGGCUAACUACGUGCCAGCAGCCGCGGUAAUACGUAGGGUGCAAGCGUUAAUCGGAAUUACUGGGCGUAAAGCGUGCGCAGGCGGUUCGGAAAGAAAGAUGUGAAAUCCCAGGGCUCAACUUUGGAACUGCAUUUUUAACUGCCGGGCUAGAGUGUGUCAGAGGGGGGUGGAAUUCCGCGUGUAGCAGUGAAAUGCGUAGAUAUGCGGAGGAACACCGAUGGCGAAGGCAGCCUCCUGGGAUAACACUGACGCUCAUGCACGAAAGCGUGGGGAGCAAACAGG